CCAGGGUCGGGCUCCAAGGUGAAAGAAAAGGAAUUUAUACAGGUGUCAACUCUAGCUUUGAUUAUCUCCAAGUUGAAGGUAAUUCCACAACCUCUUAUAUCCAGACCUAACAACACACUCAGAAAGUGCCCCCCAACAUGACCAGCUCUAGUGACAUCUCCCUCAGUGCCAGUAUGGCCCUGAGUUUGAGCAUUUCAUCCUGGAGAGAAUUCUGCAAAGUGUAACCAAUGUGACUAAGGGACUGGUAUCACUGACAUCGGAGGAAAGAUUAAAAAGCACAAAAUUAUGUAGUUAGCCAGACAGUGACUAAGGGAACCCCUGGUAAUAGUCUACAAGCAUUUAAAGAGUGCGCAAACAGCCCAGAGAGAGGGAAAACUCUUCAGACUGUUCAUCACAGACGAUUUGGGGAGGAGCAGUGCCAGGAUACAGGAAGAUAGCCAUCACUACUGCUCCAGUGCUCCUUGGUGCAUUUGCAGGGAGGUGAGCUAAAUGUUUUUCAAAGGUUUACUUCAGCCUCCACUCCCCAUCCUCUUGACAAGUGAGGAAACUGUAAAGAAAAGAGAGGAGUCACAAGGAAAUGUUCAGGUCUCUGCUAAGAAUUUCUGCACUGCGUUGGAACCGAGUAGCUUAAUAGGGUCUAUCUGAGGUAACUUUGAUUCUUAAAAUCAUGAUGAUUUGUGAUUGGAAAGGCUCAUUAUGCAACUAGUGGAUUUUCUGUAACUUGAAGUAUUUUAAUCAAUAUUUGAGGACUUCAGUAACUCAGCCAAAGGUUAUGGGUCUAUUGCAUGCAGUGCUUUUUUUGUGACGGUACUGCCCGGCAUGUAGUACCGACACCUCCAGAUGCACUACCAGCACCUCCUAUCAGAGCUCAACAACUUUUCCCCUGGAGUACUGGCACCUUUUUUUUUUUUAAC